CUGCAGAGGCGCCUCCACCUUCAGGCAACGACCAGUCACCUCCGCGGCUCCGCCGAUUGCCGACACCGCUGUCCUCCUCCGCGGCUCCGCCUCCGCCGACAGCCUUCAGUUUGUUAUACGAUUAUCAUCAGCGAUUAAGAAAUAAUCUUGGAACAAAAAGCUACAUUUAUGGUUGUUGAUUUCAGUUCUUGAGUUCAAGAUGCCUAUUGAUUUCAAAGAUUUUCAACUUUCACCAUUCAAGGUGCUCUUGAAUGAUGCAAGCCCAUUAGGAAAGACAAGGUACUGUUGACCUUUUAGCGUUGCUGGAGAAGAUAUCAAAGAAUGGAAUAUCACAAGAUGUUUGGCGAAGAAGAACCGGUCUAUAACCGUCGGGUCAUGAAAUCUGCACAACAAGUUGGUAGAAUGUCAAUGCAAUGGACCACAUAUGUCUUUCAUGAAAAUGAUCAAUGUGAUGAACCAAUAGAGGUUAGGUAUGCGCCUAUCGCACUGGUAACGACGAGAUUGUUCAACAAAUACCCUCGCCUAUAUCUUUUGACUUGCCAAUGGUUCUAAUUAAACCUCUAGAGGCAUGCUCCACACUUGAAGUUUACAAGGUAUCGUUGACUCUUUUGCCUUGCUGGAGAAGAUAUCAAAGAAUGGAAUAUCACAAGAUGUUUGUGUAAAUGAUUUGGAACCGUCUGCAUUUGAGCGUUUCCUCUGAAAAGAUCAGAACAACGCAUAAUUGUUGCAUGCCGUGAAAAAUGUGAUGUUUUUAUGUCUCAAAGGAACCAAGAAUUCCUAAUAAUUUGUCAAUAGUUACAAGUGUGCUAUUUGCAACGCCAAGUCGAAUAAUCAAUCUAGAACAAACCCAUGCAGGUAUUCACAUCACUAUACCUGGUGGCACUAGCAAGCGGGGGAGUCAAGGUAUGUAUCUUAGUCGAGCAUAUCAAUUUGAUGACAAUGAUAUGGCUUAUAAAAAGGUCAAGAUUUUCUUUAAUUGGUAUAUUAAAGUGUAUAGCCAUUUGACGAUUUUUUAUUUUUCCGUAUUACCUUUUCUUUAGUUCAUUGUAAUUUAAUAUUUACAUAAGUAAUGAAACGUUUCUUUCGUUUCAAAGUUUAU
rnacentral:lncRNA from 1 species